rnacentral:lncRNA from 1 species
CCUUGACCCAAUAGGACUGGUGCUCUUAGAAGAGGAAGACACCAGAGCUGUCCCUCUCUCGGCUUGCACUAAGGAGGAGGUCACGUGAGCACACAGUGAGAAGGCGGAGGACCAUCUGCAAGCAGGAAGAGAGCCCUCGCUAGAACCCCCCACGGUGGCAUCUGAUAGUGGACUUCUAGCUUCCAGAACUGAACUCAUAAAUGUCACAUCAGGCUGCCUCUUGGUGAAUUUUUAAUCAACGGGGAGAAUUUCAGCUACAAAUAGACCAAGAAUCAAGAGGCCCACUAUUGAUCGGUCAAAGUGGCACUUAUGAACCUGAGGUUGAAGCAGUUUGGAUAAAAGGAUUCUGGGCUUUCGAUGGCCCCAGAGACAUCUUUUUCCAUCAAGUCCAGUAAGAUCACUCCGGCUAUUACAUGGAGGGUGGACUGAAGGAACAAGGACAGGGAACAGGAAUGGCAGUAAAGAAACCAGGAGACUAUUGAGAUGAUCCUGACAAGAAAUGGCAACUUGGACUACGGCAGUGGCAAUAGAGGUGAGAAAACUGGG